rnacentral:rRNA from 1 species
GGUGAAGACGUGCGGGGGUCGGGGGGUAAUGUGUGGGGGGUAGUGGUGGCCGGAAUCAUGGGGCGGAAAGAGCGGGUAGGCGGUUGAGGAAGUCGGCGGGGAAAGUCCAGGGCUCAACCCUGGGAUGGCGGUCGACACUGCCGGACUAGAGUUCGGAAGAGGCGAGGGGAAUUCCCGGUGUAGCGGUGAAAUGCGCAGAUAUCGGGAGGAACACCAAUGGCGAAGGCAGCUCGCUGGGACGUUACUGACGCUGAGACGCGAAAGCGUGGGGAGCAAACAGGAUUAGAUACCCUUGUAGUC